UACGGAGGGGGCUAGCGUUGUUCGGAAUUACUGGGCGUAAAGCGCACGUAGGCGGCUUUGUAAGUUAGAGGUGAAAGCCCAGGGCUCAACCCUGGAAUUGCCUUUAAGACUGCAUCGCUUGAACAUCGGAGAGGUAAGUGGAAUUCCGAGUGUAGAGGUGAAAUUCGUAGAUAUUCGGAAGAACACCAGUGGCGAAGGCGGCUCACUGGACCGGUAUUGACGCUGAGGUGCGAAAGCGUGGGGAGCAAACAGG
rnacentral:rRNA from 1 species